rnacentral:rRNA from 1 species
GGCGACGACGGGUAGCCGGCCUGAGAGGGCGACCGGCCACACUGGGACUGAGACACGGCCCAGACUCCUACGGGAGGCAGCAGUGGGGAAUAUUGCACAAUGGGCGAAAGCCUGAUGCAGCGACGCCGCGUGAGGGAUGACGGCCUUCGGGUUGUAAACCUCUUUCAGCAGGGAAGAAGCGAAAGUGACGGUACCUGCAGAAGAAGCGCCGGCUAACUACGUGCCAGCAGCCGCGGUAAUACGUAGGGCGCGAGCGUUGUCCGGAAUUAUUGGGCGUAAAGAGCUCGUAGGCGGUCUGUCGCGUCGGAUGUGAAAGCCCGGGGCUUAACCCCGGGUCUGCAUUCGAUACGGGCAGACUAGAGUGUGGUAGGGGAGAUCGGAAUUCCUGGUGUAGCGGUGAAAUGCGCAGAUAUCAGGAGGAACACCGGUGGCGAAGGCGGAUCUCUGGGCCAUUACUGACGCUGAGGAGCGAAAGCGUGGGGAGCGAACAGGAUUAGAUACCCUGGUAGUCCACGCCGUAAACGGUGGGAACUAGGUGUUGGCGACAUUCCACGUCGUCGGUGCCGCAGCUAACGCAUUAAGUUCCCCGCC